UUCGAUUUCGAUUUCGAAAUUUUCCUUAUCGAUUUAUCGAUUUCGAUUUUGUCCUACCGGUUUAUGGAUAAACCGAUAAGGUAUACUAAAAAGAUAAAUAUACCCUUAUUUUCUCAUACCUUAUUCUUCACUCUUCAGCACCGCUUUUGGUUCUUCUUUCACAGGUACAUGAAAAUCUCACUUACCUGCUCUCUUUUCAGUGAUUUGAUUAUCUUUUUUUUUGGUUUUCUCUCAUGCUAUUUUGUGCUAUAUAAUUUCUACCUCCACGUUUAUUUUUCAGAAAACGUGUCCUGUUGGAUCUUGAACUAGCUUCAGAUUCCAACUAAUAAUGGACAUCCAAAAAAGAUAAUUCAAGUUAGAUGCCUGCAAUUUUCAUCUACUGUGGUUCAAAAAGUUAUAGUAGCUCUGCAAUUCAAGCUCUGUUUUCAUCAGCUGGUUUAUAAUAAUAGUACACAGCUAAAAUUGAAAGAGUCACCACUGGGUUUGGCCACAGAAUCCGCUCACCCAGCCAUAAUUUUUAGGUCAAGAGAGAGGAGUGUUGAUUUCGUCUUGCUUUGCUUCAUUCAACUCGUUUAAGACUAUUCAGGUGCUCCGGAGACUUAGUGGCGAGUUGUUGACUGUU